CUGAGGGUGACAUUGUGUCUCUGGAGACCCACGAGGGCGACUCCCUGAACCUGAGCUGUGAGGCUGGGAGCAGACCUGAGGCCACCCUGAGCUGGGCCAGGACGAACAGGUCCCUGAUCCCUGGCCAGGGAAGGGACCGGCACUUGGAGCUGCCGAAUCUCAGCAGAGGGGACGCUGGGGAGUAUCGGUGCUGGGCAAAGAAUUCCUAUGGAUCAGCCAGCCGGGCCCUGCGUGUGCACGUGCAGACUCUAGAGAGGACUCUGCAAAUCACCGUCUCCAGAGCUAACAGGAGCGACCCCCAGCUAUUCCAAGAUCCCAGCACCACGGUGAGGAAUGGCUCACAGCUCACGGCCCGGGAGGGCGACUCCCUGCGGUUCCUCUGCUCUGUCGCCAGCAGCCCCCCCGCUGCACUGGGCUGGGUGAACGGGGGCCGAGCCAUUGAGGGCGCCCACCCCGCGGGGGAGAAUCAGCUGCGGCUGGAGCUGCCCAAUGUGACAGCCGAGGACGGGGGGCUGUACGGGUGCUGGGCCCAGAACAAGGAGAGCUCUGCCCAGGGAACGUUCCAGCUUCUCGUUGAGUGUGAGUGGAGUUAACCUGUGGGACUACCUGCCCCUGGAUAUUAGUGGGGUUAAUCCACACAACUCCCUACCACUGGGUGUUAGUGGGGGUAACCUGCGGUACUCCCUGCCACUUGGUUUCUCUCUCUGACUAUUGUCACUGUAUCUCUUGCUCUCUGCAGACAGCCCCCGGCCGGGGACCAGGCUGAACUCGUCCUGCCAGCACCAGGGGCCCAGCGUCAACUGCAGCUGCUCCCUGCGCUCCCACCCCCCACUCCGGCUCCAGUGGCAGGUGGAUGGGGAGCCCCUGGCUGGGAACGGCUCAUGGGGAGCCCUGCAGGUCAGCUCGUGGGCCCAGGGGGACGAGGCCGUCAGCACCCUGAGCUGGACGGGGAGCAGGGACAGGGGCCCCCGGAUCUUCUGCCUCGGCUCCAACCCCCACGGGACCUACGCCGCCCUGCACUUUGAACUCAGCCCCCCACAGAGAGGUGAGACAUUCAGAUUCCUGGGUUCUGUCCCCAGGUCGGGGAGUGGAGUGGGGUC